UCCUCUGUGAGAGCUGGACAUCAGGCUGUCUGCAUUCACUAUCCUUUCCUUCUGUACAAAUGAUAUGUGACCAGAUGCUUCGAACUCCUACUGCCUUUUACUUCCCAUCAUGCUUUGCAACUCUCAAUGGAAGCUGGAAUAAACCCAUUCUAAGUCACUUUGGUCUGAGAAUUUCAUCACAGCAACAGGGGAAAAAAUGGAGUUUAGAUUCAUGCAAUAAACACUGUUCUUCCCUCAGAUCUUCCCAUUUCUUCAAAAGAAGAGUGGACCAGUGUGACUGUUGGCCGGGCUUCCUCUUCCACUUGUCUUGCUGAAGCUGAAAUAUACGUCUGUGAUCAAGACUCAUCCAAGGCUCAGCAGAACCACCUGCAGCAUGGGCAAGGUCUGAAAACCGUCCAUCCUUCCGAGAGGCCCUGCAGACAGGUUCACAGGUUGCUGAGCAUGGGCAGAACAACCCGUCCAGCCAACACACCUCCCAGUGAAUUCAUCCCCAGUCUUCACCGGACUCAAAACUGGAGGCUGGAAGGCAAGCCACCAAUGGAUCUGGUGUCUGCUCAGGGUGACAAGACCAAGGCUGAGAGAUUAGGAAAGGGCUAGGAACCUGAGUCACUGGCUGAGCAAACUACAGGUCAAUGAUGGACCUUCUCAAAAGGAAUAGAUAAAUGAUUGAGAAAAAAAAGCAUCAUCAACUUUUGCCCUCCACAACUGCCUACAGAGAGAAACUCGUCUGGACAAAAAGAUGUCCUCUGCAGAUGGCACCAGUCAAAAGAACCCAGUAAACACCAAACCUUGGUCUGCAGGACAAACCACAACCCUUCCUGAGGGUCAGUUCCUCGGAUGUGACUGGAGUUGCUCCAGAUAUUACAAUUAAAACAAGGGCAUUUCAUUACAUUAUCUUCCCUGGGAAUGUUCAUUAAAAUUAAAAGAGGUAGAGGAGGUGUAGGAGGAGGAAGAAGAGGAGGAGGAGGAAGAAGAAAAAGAAGAAGAGGAGGAGAAAGCUGCUGCCACUGCUGCUGCUGACGACUACCUGGGCUCUGCGCAGCUUCCCUGGCCACACCCCUUCCCACACACCUGCAGGAAGACCACAGCAGCCACAGAGAAUGGGUCGGUACUAAGGUCAGUUCAUAAUAAAGAGCCUUCCAGAAGCCCCCAUCCCCACCCCAAGCCAACAGGAAUUGGCAAUGAACUUUGAGAAAAGGCUACGCGAGCCAGAAAACAACUUAGGGCUGUUUAAUUUUCCUGACAUGAACGCUGGCCACCCAAGGGGAUAAAGGAAACACCUGUCUCCCGUGGGCAGCGGUUCUGCAGGGCGUGUGGACAUCCAGAAAGCUGCUGGGAGGCUUCUUUCACCCGCCAAGUUAGAGACAAACGAACCUGGGGAAAGAGUGGUUUCACAGAAGACCAUGGACCCCAGCCUGGGUCUCAGCUCUGCCUCUGACUAGGAAGGGGCCACUAGAAUCAGCAACCCCACCUCUAAGAAGAACAUAAGCUUUUUGCACAGUAUUCUCUCACGGGCUUUUAUUGAGACUCAUAAAGGAAGCAACAACACUUGAGAGUGUGAGUUGCAAAGUGGAAAAAACAAAACAGAAACAAAAACAACAACAACAAAAAACAUGUGAACCUGACGUUGGAGCAAAGGAUGAAACCAGCAAUUGCAAGCCAGGAGAAUCCUUGGGAAGUGAGGCAGGGCAGCGGAACAGCCUGAGCACAGAGGUUCAGGGUCAGGGUAGGGUGCCUGGCGAAUUCCCGUAACGCAGGACACUGCCCAAGCCAGUUUCAUAAAAAGUCACUCCGUUGAUUUCAGGCUCAAUGGGAACAUCUCUUGGCUGUUUGCUGAAUUUAGACACUUUAAAAAGUUUUCUUUGACUGAACACGGGGUUCCUGAGACCAGCUUCCUGGGGGUAUCUUGGUAAACAAGCCUCCCACCACGAAUUUCCUUGCUGUUAUUGUAACUGGUUUUAACUGCACUUGAGUUUGUUUGGUUUGGUCUUUUGUUGUUGUUUUUUUUUGUUUGUUUGUUUUUGGUUUUGUUUUGUUUUUUCCUUUUUCCCUUUCAGACAGUUGCACUUAAAAUGUACUAACUUUUCAGUGAGAGAGGUAGGUUUGAGAGAAUAUGUUUGAACUCCCUUGAUGGAUCCUGUCGGUCCUAAGGCAGAUCCCCGUCCCAGACAGUGUCGCUUUGGACAGAAAACACAAAUCCUUGGAGAAGUGAGGUGAUAUGAGGAAGUGGCUUGGCAAGCUGUGGCUGUGCCUUGAUCUGCUGCUAGCCUCCAACCCCAGCUGUACAGGCACUGUGUGAGGUGUUCAGCCAUGCCUUAGCCAUAGUAAGCAUCCUGGGUUAAUGAGGUAAUGUUUAUAUGAUUUGUGAGGUCACCUGAUAGAGGGAAAAGACACAUGGUCCUCCAUUUUGUUAUUUGGGGAGUGGGGAAGAUGGCAGGCUAGUGAAAUUCAGGAGUCAAGAAACAUGAUGUGACCAGUUACAUAUCACAAAAAAAGAAGGAUAAGAAGGAAGAGGAGGAAGAGGAAGAAGAGAAAAGGGAAAAAAAGGAAGAAAGAGAAAAGCUGAUGGGAAUAGCAGACGCCCAGGUCUUUAGAAAUGGUUUCAUCAUCUUUGGGAAGUGCAGAUUGUGGUCACAGACCCCAGAUAUUUCACACCAACAAAAACCAUCUGUCUGCUGCAUCUACAAACCAACCUCCACUUCCUGCCUUUGGUAUAGGCUAUCAGCUCUUUAAUAAACCAAUCAGAAUGUUAGAGAGGGAGUGUUUACAAGAUGUAGCCAUAUGAAUAAUAAUACCAAAGUCCAGUCUACACUCAACUCUGCAGGCAUAGAAACCAUCAUUUGAAUAAUACGAAGACAACAUUUACUCUGUGCAUAAUAAUAUCACCCCAACACGUGGGUGGGGCUUUGUGAUGGAGUAAUGACAGAAGGGGGCUCACAUGUGGGCAGUGGGCUAGUUUCUGAUAGUGAAAGGGCAGGAGACACAGGGAAGGACAGGAGGAGGUUCUCAAGGAAUGAUGGACAGAGUAAGGUAAGGUUGAAUUUAAACUUGGGUUUUCAAAGAACUUUCAGGAAAUCUAAGUAGAAAAAAACUUGAAUACAUUGGCCUAAUGCAAGAUCUUUUGACCUACCAUUUUACAUGGGAAAUCUUUAUAUGAACCCAGCUAUAUCAGUAAAUGAAAUAAGCCUAUAAGUCAAACAUUUACUAAAAAUAAGUUUU
rnacentral:lncRNA from 1 species